AAGUUGAAAGGGUAAUCGAAUGCCCUUUGAAUUGUCAGAAGUCUUCCCUUUGAAAAUUAUAUAUAAUCUUCGAAUUGAAAGACUUCUGACAAUUGAAAGGGCAAUCAUUCGAUUACCCUUUUAAUUUU
rnacentral:miRNA from 1 species